rnacentral:rRNA from 1 species
CUUUCUGGUUUCGCUUGCUGUUUAUGCAUAUCGAACGCACCUUCGGGUGAGCGGCGGACGGGUUAGUAACGCGUGGGAACAUACCCUUUGGUACGGAAUAGCCUCUGGAAACGGAGAGUAAUACCGUAUGAGCCCUUCGGGGGAAAGAUUUAUCGCCAAAGGAUUGGCCCGCGUUAGAUUAGGUAGUUGGUGGGGUAAUGGCCUACCAAGCCUACGAUCUAUAGCUGGUUUUAGAGGAUGAUCAGCAACACUGGGACUGAGACACGGCCCAGACUCCUACGGGAGGCAGCAGUGGGGAAUCUUGGACAAUGGGGGCAACCCUGAUCCAGCCAUGCCGCGUGAGUGAUGAAGGCCUUAGGGUCGUAAAGCUCUUUCGCCUGUGAAGAUAAUGACGGUAGCAGGUAAAGAAACCCCGGCUAACUCCGUGCCAGCAGCCGCGGUAAUACGGAGGGGGUUAGCGUUGUUCGGAAUUACUGGGCGUAAAGCGCACGUAGGCGGACUGGAAAGUUGGGGGUGAAAUCCCAGGGCUCAACCCUGGAACUGCCUCCAAAACUAUCAGUCUAGAGUUCGAGAGAGGUGAGUGGAAUUCCGAGUGUAGAGGUGAAAUUCGUAGAUAUUCGGAGGAACACCAGUGGCGAAGGCGGCUCACUGGCUCGA